GACGAACGCUGGCGGCGUGCCUAACACAUGCAAGUCGAACGGAGUAUUCAGCAAUGGAUACUUAGUGGCGAACGGGUGAGUAACGCGUAGACAACCUGCCUCUAAACUGGGGACAACACUGCGAAAGUGGUGCUAAUACCGAAUGUGGUAUCUUUGCUGCAUGGUGAAGAUAAGAAAGAUGGCCAAUCUAUAGAAGCUAUCGUUUAGAGAUGGGUCUGCGUCUGAUUAGCUAGUUGGUGAGGUAAAGGCUCACCAAGGCGACGAUCAGUAGCCGGUCUGAGAGGAUGGAACGGCCACACUGGGGACUGAGACACGGCCCAGACUCCUACGGGAGGCAG
rnacentral:rRNA from 1 species